AAGCCAUUGUGGGGGCACUGAGACUGAUAAUUUUUUACGCGCUCCCAGGCUUCACAGAGUGUUUCACCGUUCUUCUAAGUGAACCCAGAAAUCUCGUUGCGCAG
rfam:Capsella rubella cultivar Monte Gargano unplaced genomic scaffold scaffold_5, whole genome shotgun sequence.